rnacentral:sRNA from 2 species
UGAUAACUUUUGGCUUGCAGGGCGGAUGCCCUCGUAUUGCUCAACAUGGAUCCUGCCACCCAUUGCAUGUUAUUUCCGGCAUCAGACAGUUUGAAUGUUUUAUAUACCUCCUUAGCUGGGGGGGCUCAAGUGCUUAAGCUACUGAGAAAUCGUUCAUGCAGCUUUAACGCCAGGGGUACCUUUCCGAGACCCAACCACUACUGAGUACCAUUACAACUGUUCCAUUGAUGAAAGGGGCGGACUUACUACUAACUUAGGACACACACCCUGUCCAUGUAUUCCCCUUUUUCUCUUUCUUCGAGUGACUAACAGGUUUGUGUGCCAGAUUCCUACAAUAUGAUGCCAUAUAUCCUAUUGGAUAACCACUGCACGCCUGAAGGCGACGGCGAACCCCCGAAAGAGUCCACGGUGCGUGUUUAUCCCGCCACACAGUGAGAACUCCUCCUAUUAAUAGCUUCCGGUUCGCACAGAACUUUUCACGCCCAGAGGAGAGAAUCAAGCCGCAUGGAUGCUCCCCCCCACGCCGCCACACGACGCCACACGCUGCCACCAAGAUGUCAAGGACAUCCUCACAGUUACUAGCAUGAUCGACGGCUUAGUGCGGGGCCGCAGAGAUCAUUUUAUUUAGUUAUUUAUUUAUUUUAUGUUUUAAAUUUAUUUCGUUGUGUGCUUUAUCAACACACCGAAAAUCAUUUGGGGCUUUUUAUUAGAAGAUUCUUUUUCCUUGCUCAGUUAACGCUAUUUCUCUUUCUUUGCUGUGUAUUUAAUUGGUUCCUGCC